AUUGAACGCUGGCGGCAUGCCUUACACAUGCAAGUCGAACGGCAGCACGGGAGCAAUCCUGGUGGCGAGUGGCGAACGGGUGAGUAAAGCAUCGGAACGUGCCCAGUCGUGGGGGAUAACGUAGCGAAAGCUACGCUAAUACCGCAUACGAUCUGUGGAUGAAAGCGGGGGACCGUAAGGCCUCGCGCGAUUGGAGCGGCCGAUGUCAGAUUAGGUAGUUGGUGAGGUAAAGGCUCACCAAGCCGACGAUCUGUAGCUGGUCUGAGAGGACGACCAGCCACACUGGGACUGAGACACGGCCCAGACUCCUACGGGAGGCAGCAGUGGGGAAUUUUGGACAAUGGGCGCAAGCCUGAUCCAGCAAUGCCGCGUGCAGGAUGAAGGCCUUCGGGUUGUAAACUGCUUUUGUACGGAGCGAAACGGCUUCCACUAAUACUGGGGGCUAAUGACGGUACCGUAAGAAUAAGCACCGGCUAACUACGUGCCAGCCGCCGCGGUAA
rnacentral:rRNA from 1 species